rnacentral:lncRNA from 1 species
UCAAAACCACAGCAAGGCUGCCCAAAGCGAUGUCUUCAACAGGAGGGAGGUGUUGGUCCAGAAACAGUAAAGCUAAUUUUUGUUGAGGGCUUGUUAAUGAGACAACAUGCUGAGCAUCAUCUUGUAUCAUCUUCACCUUAACCACAGAAGACACUAACAUCACUGUCUCCUUUCUGCAGGUGAGGAGCUCAAAGCAUAAAGAGAGGAAGUCACUUGUUUCAGCUCUCAGGGUCCAGGAGCCUGUCUGACUCCAGAGGGGACUCAUGCCUGGGCUUCCUGUCUCCAGGGAAUCUGGACAGAGCGGUGGAAAUUUCAGGUGGCACUUGGGCCAGGGAGGAUCUCCACGCCUUUCCUCACACCGAGCUGUCUGGCCCUUGGGGAGUUAACUUCACAGAUAGGGCCUUGCUCCCAGAAGACAGUUGAAUGUGCCUAUAGAUCACCUCUCAGGGACAGCCAUUUUUCCCAAGACAGGAAUAUCAUCUUCAGCACCUGUCACCAUAUGGGACAUAGAGGAAGCUCUCCCUCCUGUUUCCAAGAAAAGAAAAAUUAUUGA